rnacentral:rRNA from 1 species
UACGUAGGGUGCAAGCGUUGUCCGGAAUUAUUGGGCGUAAAGAGCUCGUAGGCGGUCUGUCGCGUCUGCUGUGAAAACUCAGGGCUUAACCCUGAGCUUGCAGUGGGUACGGGCAGACUAGAGUGCGGUAGGGGAGACUGGAAUCCUGGUGUAGCGGUGAAAUGCGCAGAUAUCAGGAGGAACACCGGUGGCGAAGGCGGGUCUCUGGGCCGUAACUGACGC